GCUUUUGUAGUUUAAGAGGUUAACAUGUCCAGUUAUCAGCUGGAAGAUCCGUGGUUCAAAUCCCGGCAAGUGGG
rnacentral:tRNA from 1 species